rnacentral:rRNA from 1 species
UACGGAGGGUGCUAGCGUUGUUCGGAAUCACUGGGCGUAAAGGGCGUGUAGGCGGUCUGUUAAGUCUGAUGUGAAAUCCCCUCGCUCAACGAGGGAACUGCGUCGGAUACUGGCAGACUCGAGUACCGGAGAGGAAGGUGGAAUUCCCGGUGUAGCGGUGAAAUGCGUAGAUAUGGGGAGGAACACCGGUGGCGAAGGCGGCCACCUGGACGGUAACUGACGCUGAGACGCGAAAGCGUGGGUAGCAAACAGG